rnacentral:rRNA from 1 species
AAUAGAUACCCUGGUAGUCCACCCCGUAAACGUUGGGAACUAGUUGUGGGGACCAUUCCACGGUUUCCGUGACGCAGCUAACGCAUUAAGUUCCCCGCCUGGGGAGUACGGCCGCAAGGCUAAAACUCAAAGGAAUUGACGGGGACCCGCACAAGCGGCGGAGCAUGCGGAUUAAUUCGAUGCAACGCGAAGAACCUUACCAAGGCUUGACAUAUACGAGAACGGGCCAGAAAUGGUCAACUCUUUGGACACUCGUAAACAGGUGGUGCAUGGUUGUCGUCAGCUCGUGUCGUGAGAUGUUGGGUUAAGUCCCGCAACGAGCGCAACCCUCGUUCUAUGUUGCCAGCACGUAAUGGUGGGAACUCAUGGGAUACUGCCGGGGUCAACUCGGAGGAAGGUGGGGAUGACGUCAAAUCAUCAUGCCCCCUUACGUCCAGGGCUACACACGUGCUACAAUGGCCGGUACAGCGUGUCGCCAACUCGCGAGAGUGCGCCAAUCACGAAAGCCGGUCUAAGUUCGGAUUGCAGUCUGCAACUCGA